AAGCCCAGCUUGCUGGGUGGAUCAGUGGCGAACGGGUGAGUAACACGUGAGCAACCUGCCCCUGACUCUGGGAUAAGCGCUGGAAACGGCGUCUAAUACUGGAUACGAACCGGAAUCGCAUGGUUACUGGUUGGAAAGAAUUUCGGUUGGGGAUGGGCUCGCGGCCUAUCAGCUUGUUGGUGAGGUAAUGGCUCACCAAGGCGUCGACGGGUAGCCGGCCUGAGAGGGUGACCGGCCACACUGGGACUGAGACACGGCCCAGACUCCUACGGGAGGCAGCAGUGGGGAAUAUUGCACAAUGGGCGGAAGCCUGAUGCAGCAACGCCGCGUGAGGGAUGACGGCCUUCGGGUUGUAAACCUCUUUUAGCAGGGAAGAAGCGAAAGUGACGGUACCUGCAGAAAAAGCACCGGCUAACUACGUGCCAGCAGCCGCGGUAAUACGUAGGGUGCAAGCGUUAUCCGGAAUUAUUGGGCGUAAAGAGCUCGUAGGCGGUUUGUCGCGUCUGCUGUGAAAUCUGGGGGCUCAACCCCCAGCCUGCAGUGGGUACGGGCAGACUAGAGUGCGGUAGGGGAGAUUGGAAUUCCUGGUGUAGCGGUGGAAUGCGCAGAUAUCAGGAGGAACACCGAUGGCGAAGGCAGAUCUCUGGGCCGUAACUGACGCUGAGGAGCGAAAGGGUGGGGAGCAAACAGGCUUAGAUACCCUGGUAGUCCACCCCGUAAACGUUGGGAACUAGUUGUGGGGUCCAUUCCACGGAUUCCGUGACGCAGCUAACGCAUUAAGUUCCCCGCCUGGGGAGUACGGCCGCAAGGCUAAAACUCAAAGGAAUUGACGGGGACCCGCACAAGCGGCGGAGCAUGCGGAUUAAUUCGAUGCAACGCGAAGAACCUUACCAAGGCUUGACAUAUACGAGAACGGGCCAGAAAUGGUCAACUCUUUGGACACUCGUAAACAGGUGGUGCAUGGUUGUCGUCAGCUCGUGUCGUGAGAUGUUGGGUUAAGUCCCGCAACGAGCGCAACCCUCGUUCUAUGUUGCCAGCACGUAAUGGUGGGAACUCAUGGGAUACUGCCGGGGUCAACUCGGAGGAAGGUGGGGAUGACGUCAAAUCAUCAUGCCCCUUAUGUCUUGGGCUUCACGCAUGCUACAAUGGCCGGUACAAAGGGCUGCAAUACCGUGAGGUGGAGCGAAUCCCAAAAAGCCGGUCCCAGUUCGGAUUGAGGUCUGCAACUCGACCUCAUGAAGUCGGAGUCGCUAGUAAUCGCAGAUCAGCAACGCUGCGGUGAAUACGUUCCCGGGUCUUGUACACACCGCCCGUCAAGUCAUGAAAGUCGGUAACACCUGAAGCCGGUGGCCUAAC
rnacentral:rRNA from 1 species